rnacentral:rRNA from 1 species
UUUCCAGAGAUGGAUUGGUGCCUUCGGGAACUGUGAGACAGGUGCUGCAUGGCUGUCGUCAGCUCGUGUUGUGAAAUGUUGGGUUAAGUCCCGCAACGAGCGCAACCCUUAUCCUUUGUUGCCAGCGAUUAGGUCGGGAACUCAAAGGAGACUGCCAGUGAUAAACUGGAGGAAGGUGGGGAUGACGUCAAGUCAUCAUGGCCCUUACGACCAGGGCUACACACGUGCUACAAUGGCGCAUACAAAGAGAAGCGA